rnacentral:misc_RNA from 1 species
GAUGAAGAACGCAGCGAAAUGCGAUAAGUAGUGUGAAUUGCAGAAUUCCGUGAAUCAUCGAAUCUUUGAACGCACAUUGCGCCUUCUGGUAUUCCGGAAGGCAUGCCUGUUCGAGAGUCAUUAACAACCGUUUCGAUCCCUUUCUUUCAGGAAUUACAAAGAGGAAAAGGGUUUGGUUAUGGUGGAGGAGGGAAAGGGAGCGUUUAGCCUGUAAAAAAAGAGGCUGUGUUCCGCCUCCCCCCCAAAAUUGUACAGGCGGUCGUGUGCGCCCACGCAUCGAGGUGUUGUAAAAGCUGCCACGGCACUUUUCACCUGUGCAGUGCGAGAUUGGCCAGCCGGUUUAAAAACCCCUCCAAACAAUCAAAGGUUGACCUCGGAUCAGGUAGGGAUACCCGCUGAACUUAAGCAUAUCAAUAAGCGGAGGA